ACCUGGGAGAUUUCAGGGGCUGGGAGGAGAGUAGGCCGCGCUCGGGGUUGAGCUGGGAUGGGCGCGCGGAGCGGGUGACGCAGGGAGGGGCGCGGAGUCUCCAGACCUAGGGGGUGACCGGAAGGGCCCUUGCUAAGGAUUUUUAAAUGCCUGGCACGGAGGUGGCGGAGCAGAUACGAUGACGCGGUGGUACUCUGUGGCACUUCUAGCCUUUGCAAACUUCUCAGAGAUUCUCCCGGUCUGGGAGGCUAAGACGAAAUCCCUAGGAGAUGGCAGAAGCUCUCGGAUGUGAAAUGAGACAAAACGUGUUUGGACUUGUAGGUCGUGCAAAUUGCCAUUACAAAGAAAGAGAAACACAAACAUUCAGAGUGGCCCCUGUGAAUAAUCCCAGAUGAAUUUUGCAUUCUGUUAACAGGACCUGCAACACCGACAAAUAGAGAUGACCCCCUCUGACUCCUUUCUUCCAAGGCAUGGGAAGGGAGGAUGAGCCUGAUGUGGGCAGAAUUCAAAUGAGAUGGACAGCGCUGUGAACCAGCUACAGGCAGCUCCCAGAGCCUUGAGAUGGCACCAAAAACCAAGAAGGGAUUGAAAGGCUCCAUUGAUGAUGUCCUUGGUGACCUCUUAGGGGAUGACAUGACACUACCUGAAGAGCCUGUUAAACUAGCUUCGUGUGCCGGAGACGCCACAGCUGUUGCCCAGGCGCUCCCUUCCUCCAGGGCUAGAACGAAGUCCCUCCUGGAAGACCGUGCCUUCAACACCACAGCGGGCCUCCGGGGACCUGAUGCCGAGGUGUCAGAUGUCUCCGAUGCAGACCCGCAAACUUUGCUGCAGGCGAUGAAGGAUCUGGACGACAUGGAUGCCGAUCUCUUCGGUCUGAAGAGGUCUAAUCUGGCCUCUGGCAAAAGAGCUGCCAGGGGUCCUGGGAAAGAAGAACUGCCUCGUCGUCCCAAACCCGCCGGCACACCGACAGCCAGGGAGAAAGGGGACGCCAUUCCCGCCAAGAAACCCCCUCCCUCUCCCAGCAGCUUUGGGCAUCAGUACAGAAAGUUUUCCUUCGAAGACUUGGAAGACCCAUUGGCAGGACUUCUGUCCGACGAUGAGGAAGGAAUCACCAAGAAGCCCCCUGGGACAGAGAGUAAAAUGGCUUCCGAAAAGAGCGCAGCCCCCGUCAGAGAUCAAGGUCCAUCUAUUCCGCUAACUCCUGGGGACACCCCGGUCCGAAAGAAAGAAGAAGUGCUAUUUGAUGAGGAGGACGACAUCGUGGCCACCUUGGGGUUUGCAGACAGCCCCACGGCAGAAAGGAGGCAGACGGGUGACCAGGAAGGGCACCGUCCUGCUCGCUCCAGGCUGGAUGAGCUGCUGGGUCGGGGCACUGCCACCAAACUCCUGGCCCGCCCGGGCACUGGGGAGCACAGGGAAUUCAAGCUGGACAAGAAGUACCAGAGGCCCCAGGACAAGGAAGAUCCCUGGGGUGAUGAAGACUUCACCUUUGGGGCCUAUCAGCCCACUGUGGGCUCCUGCGAGGGCCGCCAGUCCCGCCGCCAGUCGGUCAGUAGGUUCUUAGCAGAAGAUGGCGCAGACACCAAGGGGGAACCAGGCUCCAAACAGAGCACCCCAGCGACCUCCAGCCCCACCCACCCCAGGAAGGGAGGAGCUGACUGGUUGGGCCUCAAGGAUGACGACCUGCUCCCUCCCUCUCCCACCAGAGAGGCUCAGAGGGGAGGCUCAGCGCUCUCCACUCCUUCCGUGCUCCCUCCCAGGAGCCAGCCCUCGGCCCCAGGCUGGCACUCGGCCCCAGGCGGACUGCCGUCCUCCUCUUUGGGGCCAAAGCCACCAGCUGAGGGGGCAGGUUUCCCUGCCAGAGCCAGCCAGGCUUCCCAACUGGGAGCGUCUGAGGAGAAAGAGGAAGAGGAUUGGCUGAGCCAGGCCUUGUCUCGGAAGAAGUCCCAGGGUCUGGCCAGAGAGGAGCACACUGAGGCCUGUAAGGGCCAGAAUCUGGUGGGGGCAGUAGGCAGUGCCCCUUCCAGCAGCCAACCUGUUCCCAGCACUCAAGGGUUCGAGCAAGCAGCUGCUGGAGGGCCCUCAGGAACAGCGGCAAAGAAGCCACCAAUAAGGCCUGCCACCUCGGGGUCCCCUGUGACUUGGAACCAGGCUGCCUUGACCCUCCCUGGAGGUGACUCAAAGAGGGGAACAGCCCUCGGAGACCUCUCCAGCAUUGAGCCCGCAGCUUGUUUCCCGAGCUCCCAGGAACCCUCAGGGCCUUCUGUGCCAGUCCAGUCCCUGCUCCCGGAGUCCCUGGCGCGGAGCCUGUCGCCGGGCCCAGAAUACCGGCGGCAGCUCGUGGCCGCACAGGUGCAGCUGCAGAGCGGCCCUGCUGAGCUCCAGGCUGACCUUCUGCAGAGUCAGGCCCGGCUGGCAGAGCUGGAGGCCCAGGUGCGGAAGCUGGAGCUGGAGCGGGCCCAGCACCAGCUGUUGCUCGAGAGCUUGCAGCAGCGGCACCAGGCCGACCUGGAGCUCAUCGAGAGUGCUCACAGAAGCCGUGUAAAGGUGCUAGAAACAUCGUACCAGCAAAGGGAAGAGCGGCUGCGGAGGGAGCACGAGGAGCUGUCGGGCCGGUAUCUGUCGCACUGCCAAGAAGCCGAGCAGGCCCGCGCCGAGCUCGCAGCCCAGUACCAGCGGCGCUUGGCGGCCGCCAUGCAAGAGAAGGACCAGGAGAUGGAGCGGCUCCGGGAGCUGCAGAGGGCCUCCAUCCUGGAGAUGCGCCAGGACCAUGAGGAACAGCUGCAGCGGCUGAAGGUGCUGAAGGACCGAGAGAUCGACGCGGUCACCAGCGCCACCUCCCACACGCGGUCCCUGAACGGCAUCAUCGAGCAGAUGGAGAAGUUUUCCAGCAGCCUGCACGAGCUGUCCUCCCGCGUGGAGGCCUCGCACCUCACCACCGCCCAGGAGCGGGAGCUGGGGCUCCGGCAGCGUGACCAGCAGCUCCAAGCACUGCAGGAGAGGCUGGGCCAGCAGCGGCGGGACAUGGAGGAGGAGAGGAGCCACCUCCAGGAGGUUAUUGGGAAGAUGGAGGCGCGCCUGAACGAGCAGAGCCGGCUGCUGGAGCAGGAGCGAUGGCGGGUGACUGCCGAGCAGUCCAAGGCGGAGUCCAUGCAGCGCGCUCUGGAAGAGCAGAGGAAGAUCAUGGUCCAGCAGAUCUCCAUGGAGCGGGAGGAGCUGGAGAAGGCCAAGAGCGCCUUGCUGGAGGAGCAGAAGUCCGUCAUGCACAAGUGUGGGGAGGAGCGGCGGCGCCUCGCGGCCGAGUGGGCCGAGUUCUAUGCACAGCAGAAGCUGAGUAAGGAGCGGGCCGAGCGCGAGGCAGAGAGGGCGCUGCAGAUGGACAGCCAGCGGGAGGGCACCCUCGUCAGCCUGGCCAAGGAGCAAGCCGAGCUAAAGAUCAGGGCCAGUGAGCUCCGAGCCAAGGAGGAGCAGCUGGCGGCCGAGAGGGAGGCCCUGGAGCGGGAGCGACAGGAGCUGCGGCUGGAGAAGGAGAGGGUCAGCGCCGCUGCCCUGCGCACCAGGCUCCGCGCCCAGGAGGUGGAGAGCAUGAGCCAGGUGGCCUCUGAGAAGUUCGAGGAGGGGCAGCGGGCGCUGCGCGAGGCCCGGCGGGUGCAGCAGGAGCAGCAGGCUCGGCUGCAGCUGGUACAGCGGCAGCAGGAGCAGCUCCGGGAGCAGGAGCAGCGCAUGCAGCAGGAGCAUCUGAGUCUGGCCCAGCAGAGGCUGCGGCUGGGCCAAGUCCCACAGGACCUGCCCUCCAGCCCCGUGGCCCGGCUCCCCAUGACCCAGGGGCCAGCAGCCGCCUGCCUGAGUGCCAUUGUGGCCCCUGCCCCCAGCACGGCCCAGUGCAGCCAGCCGCCCACCGGCCUGGGCGCUUCGCACCUGCACGCCAGGCUGGUGCUGCUGAAGCACACGGCUGAGCAGGACCGUGACUUCUUGGAGAAUGAACAGUUCUUCCUGGAAACCCUGAAGAAAGCCUCCUACAAUAUGACAUCCCAUUCAACCUGAAGGGCGCCAGAGGCCUCCAGCCCUGGAAGUCUCUCCCACCGCCCCCCUGGCUGCCGGCUCCGGCUCCAGCUCCGAGGAUGGAGUGCCCAGGGCCUGAUUAUAGCUCCUCCUCGGGACAGGGUGCGAGCACAUUCUCUUUGCAUGCUCCAGCCUCUAGGGCUUGGGGAACAGUGGCCUCUGGGGAGAUGUGAUGCCGAGGGUGUCUCAGCCCCACGACCCUGCCAGCCACAGCCUCGGUUCUUCUCCCUCAGACUUCCAGCUCAGAUCCAAGGGCUCACUGGGCUCUGUGGACCCCUCCCCUCCUCAGCAGGCAGAUGGUUGGGGGAUAGUGUCACCUGGGCCUCUUCUGAGGCAGGGGAGUCUUCUUGAGAGAUGCCCUCCCUGUCUGAGAGGCCAACAGAGACAGCGCAGGCUCUCCUCCCUAACUGGGCCAUAGAGUCAGAGCAUGUGUUUUGAAGCGCCUUCUGUCCUCCCGACCGCGGAGGUGGGCGGUGUUGUGGGAGCACAGAGGGGGCAGGGAAGGUGCUGUGCCCAGCCAGGUUUUGCCUCGAAGUCUUGAUGUGCUGUCAGAUUGGCUGGCACAAAGUCCCCGCCUCGUUCCCAGCUGCCUGAGUCACUGAUGGAACGCUGGCCUGUCCCUUCUUAUAAUUAGGGCUUCCCAGAGGCAGGACUGGGCGUGACAGUGGGAUGUGGUGAGGGACCCGGAGAGAGGUCUCUCUGUCCUAUUCACCUGCUACCAAACCACCACAGGUGGCAGCAAAGACAAGGGAGCGGGGCCCCUGCCACAGCUGGGAGGGUAGAGAGCGCCGGGGACCCCCAUAAGGCCUUACCCAGGCUGCCAGCCCUGGGAGGGCGCCUUUGCCCUUCUCCCUGCAGGGGCGCCAGGAUGGGGGCAGCGGCUUAGCAGUGGUCCCAGCAGAUCCGAGGAGGGAUAGACACCACUAACAUAACCACGGUCACUCCUGAAGCGGCUUCCCUCAGCCAGUGACUGGCUACCUUCCACUGGCGGACAAAGUGUGAAGGGGCAUCAGAACAGCCUUCAGAAGGAUCUUCAUUUACCAGCAAUUUCCAGCCUUCAUCUUGGACCCAUUAAAUUGCUCUAUUCUUUGUUACUGGAUUGUUAGAAUUUGCCAUGACUCCUGAGAGUUUAUACUAGUUCUUAGAAGUGUUCCCUCUGUAGCACUGUUCCUUGCCAUAAAGCUGGCUGGCACUGGCACCUUCCUGAAUCUCUACAUUCACUGGCUGCCUCACGACCAGGAGAAGAGUGUGCCGAUCAGCCCUACCUCACACAGGGGCUCAGGGAGAUUAAAUCAUCUGCCCAAGGUGACAGCAAAUAGCAGAGCCUUCUCCUUGGGCACAUUCCAAAACCCCGGGGUCUCAGCCACUUCAUUCCACUGACUCCUUCUAGAAGAGCAUGCUGCACGCAGUGCUGUUGUGAAGCAUGAGCUCUCCAGACUGCUUCUCGGGUUCGUGCCUGCACUGAGGAGGGAAGCGUCAGUGUCCCAUUAGAAACCUCAUGAAGCUUGGAAUUCGGUCCUUCUCUCCACAGACACCUAAACGAGUUGCCACCUGUGUGAAGAGCUGCAGGGCUGUAAGCACGGGCACAGCCUGGGAGCAGCUGGCAUUGACUUAGUCCCCUGACAGUCAGGAUCACCCAGCAGGGAGACCCACAGGGGCGAGCUGGCCUUCAAGACAAAGAGAAAUGAGUGCAGAAUGAGCAAGCAGGUCUGUAUGGCCUCGUUUAUCUUCAGGGCAGUGGUUGAUACAUGUGGGAAUCCGUGCUACGCCUUUCAAACACUUAAAUUCCAAGUGAGCCCAUUCUUGGAGCGUUCUAGGACCGUGAGAGAACAAGUGUUUCUCAAAAGUAAGGACUGUCGGAGAAAACCAAGCCAGCGGGGGUCAUCGGCUAGCAUGCCGCUUGCCGCUAUGCCGCGAGAUCCU